AGCGGCGUAGCUCAGAUGGUUAGAGCGUGGGAUUCAUAACCCCAAGGUCCCCGGUUCGAUCCCGGGCGCCGCUA
rnacentral:tRNA from 1 species